rnacentral:lncRNA from 1 species
UUCAGCCGCCACCAUCUAGAUUCCCAUCAAACAUAUAAUUCAUCUACCCCAUGUUAUUACACUAAGAUGGCGGCCAAGAUCACAUCAGACCUAUCUAGGCCUGGGAGGCACGGAGAAAACACUCAUGUUCUUAAGCAUUUGACAAUUCCAAACCUCAAACUUUUUGUGUUCUGUUAGCCCUUUCAAUUCUCUUAGAGAAGACCAAUGAAAAACUACGUGAAAUUCCAAUUUCAACUGAAAUUGUUAGUCAUCAGCAUCUAACACAUAACCGCUUGGACAAUCACCAUUCUACCGAGAUCAUGCUCAGCUAACUUCACUCUCCAAUUUAGAAGGCAAUGAUACAUUUGAAAAGUUUGAAGCACUGGAGUGG